GAUGAACGCUGGCGGCGUGCCUAAUACAUGCAAGUCGAGCGAACGGACGAGAAGCUUGCUUUUCUGAUGUUAGCGGCGGACGGGUGAGUAACACGUGGAUAACCUACCUAUAAGACUGGGAUAACUUCGGGAAACCGGAGCUAAUACCGGAUAAUAUUUUGAACCGCAUGGUUCAAAAGUGAAAGACGGUCUUGCUGUCACUUAUAGAUGGAUCCGCGCUGCAUUAGCUAGUUGGUAAGGUAACGGCUUACCAAGGCAACGAUGCAUAGCCGACCUGAGAGGGUGAUCGGCCACACUGGAACUGAGACACGGUACAGACUCCUACGGGAGGCAGCAGUAGGGAAUCUUCCGCAAUGGGGGAAAGCCUGACGGAGCAACGCCGCGUGAGUGAUGAAGGUCUUCGGAUCGUAAAACUCUGUUAUUAGGGAAGAACAUAUGUGUAAGUAACUGUGCACAUCUUGACGGUACCUAAUCAGAAAGCCACGGCUAACUACGUG
rnacentral:rRNA from 1 species